rnacentral:rRNA from 1 species
GAUGAACGCUGGCGGCGUGCCUAAUACAUGCAAGUCGAGCGAACAGACGAGGAGCUUGCUCCUCUGACGUUAGCGGCGGACGGGUGAGUAACACGUGGAUAACCUACCUAUAAGACUGGGAUAACUUCGGGAAACCGGAGCUAAUACCGGAUAAUAUAUUGAACCGCAUGGUUCAAUAGUGAAAGACGGUUUUGCUGUCACUUAUAGAUGGAUCCGCGCCGCAUUAGCUAGUUGGUAAGGUAACGGCUUACCAAGGCAACGAUGCGUAGCCGACCUGAGAGGGUGAUCGGCCACACUGGAACUGAGACACGGUACAGACUCCUACGGGAGGCAGCAGUAGGGAAUCUUCCGCAAUGGGCGAAAGCGUGACGGAGCAACGCCGCGUGAGUGAUGAAGGUCUUCGGAUCGUAAAGCUCUGUUAUUAGGGAAGAACAAAUGUGUAAGUAACUAUGCACGUCUUGACGGUACCUAAUCAGAAAGCCACGGCUAACUACGUG